GUCUCAGGCCGUAUCAGCCUGAAGGCGCCCGAUCUCGUCUGAUCUCGGAAGCUAAGCAGGGUCGGGCCUGGUUAGUAUCUUGGGAUGGGAGACCACCUGGGAAUCCCGGGUGCUCGAGGCU
rnacentral:rRNA from 1 species